rnacentral:rRNA from 1 species
AUGGAAAACUUAUCCUUCAAUUAUUUGCCUCAAUGCAAUAUGAUUACGAUUUAUUUAAAUCCUUCACAUGGAUGUCAAUUGGAAAGAUGUACUCCAAUAUCUAUAAGUUUGCAAGAGUGCUUGAACUGUAAGCCAACAAAAGUGCAGACUAUGAAACAAUUCAUUGCUCAGGCGUGGCGUCUUCUUCAGGCGGCGCGGUCUCGAUCAGAUUCAUAUGUCAUCUGGGGCAUGCCUCAGGAUUGUACGACCUGGAUGGAUCCAAUCCUCCUGCCAUGGUGGUCCUGUGGUGUCGAAGGUGGUCAUGGUGGUGCAGCUAGGCUCUUUUUCUGA